CCUUUGUACACACCGCCCGUCGCUACUACCGAUUGAAUGGCUCAGUGAGGCCUUGGGACUGGCUUUGGGGAGCCGGCAACGGCACUCUAUUGCUGAGAAGCUGAUCAAACUUGGUCAUUUAGAGG
rnacentral:rRNA from 1 species